GAUGAAGAACGCAGCGAAAUGCGAUACGUAAUGUGAAUUGCAGAAUUCAGUGAAUCAUCGAAUCUUUGAACGCACAUUGCGCCCCCUGGUAUUCCGGGGGGCAUGCCUGUUCGAGCGUCAUUUCAACCCUCAAGCUCUGCUUGGUAUUGAGUCCAUGUCAGCAAUGGCAGGCUCCAAAAUCAGUGGCGGCGCCGCUGGGUCCUGAACGUAGUAAUAUCUCUCGUUACAGGUGCUCGGCGUGCUUCUGCCAAAACCCCAAUUUUUCUAUGGUUGACCUCGGAUCAGGUAGGGAUACCCGCUGAACUUAAGCAUAUCAUAAGCGGAGGA
rnacentral:misc_RNA from 1 species